AAGAAGGCCUGCGGGUUGUAAAGCACUUUUAGUGGGGACAAAAAGCCACGGGCUAAUACCCGGUGGUCUUGAUUUAACCCAAAGAAAAAAGCACCGGCUAAACUCUGUGC
rnacentral:rRNA from 1 species